GCGGGUGUAGCUCAAUGGUAGAGUUCUGGCCUUCCAAGCCAGCUGUGAGGGUUCGAUCACGUUCACCCGCUCGA
rnacentral:tRNA from 1 species